rnacentral:piRNA from 1 species
UUCAACGAAUGAACUGUAUGGCAGGUGAAU